rnacentral:lncRNA from 1 species
UUUGUCUUCUGGCCCAGUCUCCAAAGACUUUUCUCUGAAUCCCAGGGAAAGGAGGCUAAUGGAGAAGGUGAGCCAGAGAAGGCAUGUACAUGUGCAACCAGGAUCUGUGGUCUCAUGGUGGUGUUGCCUAGUAACUGAGCUUAACCACUGGAACUCAGAUGAAUUACAGAACCACUAUGUCCUCAGCACAGAAUGUAUCUCUGCAGGCCAGAGUUCCUGGUUUCAGUUGGACUAACAGGCCCACCAAGAGAAGCAACAGCUGUCAUGGGAAUACAAUCAUAUGUGCAGAGAGCUACUUGAGGGAACAACAGAGGAAAUCGAGGAUACAAAUCAGGGAAGAUGGUGGCCACAAUCAUGUGGUAAAAUCAAGCGAAAGAACCUGGGAAGCGCCUUGAUCUAGUUGCAGAAGAAACUGUUCAUUUUCCAUGCUGCUAUCUUACACCACUUUAUAUACAUCAUAAUUAUGAAGAUACACCCCCAAGGGUUUUGUUCUGAAAUUAUUCAACCCCCAACUCCAAAUGCCCUAGCAGUAUCCCAGUGUUCAUAAAGGGUGAUUACAGUAUCAGCAGUACCAGCCACCUGGGAACUUGUUGGAAAACAAAAUCUGGAAAGCCAGUCCCCUAUCCCUAAGCCUAACCUAAAACCCCUAAGGUGGGCAGAUUCAGAAGUCCAAUUAAGCAGCUCUCCAUGUGAUUCUGAAGCUUGGCUGCAGGUUAUGGAGGUUCAUCUGUGAGUAUUUUCAGAUUGUCACAUCUACAAUCACAUCUCAGUUAAUUAAGAGGAGCGAGUUGCAGGGAAAAGGUCAUAGUAGAUGAUGAUACCUGCCUGUCUGACCUUUGAGGAAGGGGAAUUUCUGAAACCUAAGGCUUCCUUGUAUUGCUCAAUUCAGUGAGAAAGAAAUCACUAAUGAUAGCAGGGUUUUGCUCUGUCGCCCCCGCUGGAGCGCAGUGGCACAAACAGAGUACAUUGCUGUCUAUCUUCUGGACUCAAGUGAUCUUCCCUCCUCAGCCUUCUGAGUAGCUGGGACUACAGAUGCAGAUAGAAAUAUUAGUUUUAUGAGAAACUAUUUCUUAAAGGAUGAAACAUUCCACAAAAUAUAUUUUAUCACAGACUAUGGGUGGAUUCCACUGGGAGAAAAGAGGAUCUAAAUGCCAGGCUCACCCCUCACAUUCUAUUCAACUGCACAGGAUAGAAUGAUACAUCCCUCUCUCACAAGAGCUCCCUGGAAACUGCAGAGGAAUCACCAUCUUCAGCAAGCUUUAUCAAGAAUGCAUUCAUGAGAUUCCCACUUUAAACAUCCAGCCAAGCACUUUUAUGUCUGUCACAGAGGCUUUAAAGGAGAGGCUGGAGAGUUCUCAUUUUCAGCACCAUCUCAGCUGUCGGUAUUUCCCAAACCUGCACUGAUGUCUGAGAAUCCACAUCAAAACUUUUGCAUUUGUCCUCAAAGAAUGUCACAACUAUUAUUCUGAAAUGCUCAUUGCAUCUAUUUCUAGGGAUGGUAAUGAUGACUCUGUACGGACUAAGAUAGGAUUAAUAACAAUGCAGAGUUGAACUCAA